rnacentral:lncRNA from 13 species
AUCCACCCAGGUCAAGAUGGGCAGAUCACCUGAGGUCAGGAGUUCGAGACCAGCCUGGCUAACAUGGUGAAACCCUGUCUCUACUAAAAAUACAAAAAAAUUAGCCAGCCUGGUGGUGGGUGCCUAUAAUCCCAGCUAUUCCGGAGGCUGAGACAGGAGAAUCACUUGAACCCAAGAGGCGGAGGUUGCAGUGAGACGAGAUGGCGCCAUUGCAGUCCAGCCUGGGCAACAGAGCAAAACUCUGUUUCGAAACAAACAAACACACAACUGCAGAACUUCGUUCUCUCACAGUUCUGGAGGCCAGAAGUCCAAACACAAGGGGUUUGGCCACGCUACCUCCAAAGGCACUGGAAGAGUCUAUUUUUUUGCCUCUUCCAGCUCCUGGUGGCUCCAGUUUUUCUUUUUCUUUUUUUUCUUUUUCUACUCAAUUAAGAAAAGCAUUUUUUACAGUCCAGAGGUAUUUUAUUUUAUUUUUUUUAACACCUAUUAUGCCAUGAAUUCAUAGGGAAUAGGUUCUGGCAGCUCAGGCUCCUCCCCAUUGGUUCUCACAGCGUGUGCUUCUCUGGGUGGAGCAGGCUGGCGCUUCAGUUGGACCCAGGUACCUUUCUCUUUGGCUUCUUUCUUUUUCUGAUCAUUUUCCUUCACACGUUUCAGGAAGCUUAGAGCUCUUGAUGUGCUCAAUACGCACAUUAAUUUUCUUGGCAAGAAUCUUGCCCUUAACUUGUUUACAACAAUGCCAACAGCAUGCUGGGGAACGCUGUGGACUCGUCCAGUUUUGCCGUGGUAACAGUUGUGGGACAUUCCUUUUUGAACAGUACCCAUUCCCUUGAUGUCUACAGUAUCACCUUUCUUAUAGAUUCAUAUAUACGUGGCCUAAGGAACAACUCCAUGUUUUCUAAACGGCCUGGAGAACGUGUAUGGAGCGCCUCUCCCCUUUCCCUUUGUGCUCAUUUCCGCGAAUUACUGGAAGAUGGCGGUUCCGGCCGAAAGGCUCCAGGUUUUCUUUGAGGACCUACAUUUUGGUGUAGCCAGCAGGGUCACUAAGGCUGCUCCGCUCUUCUGGAAGCCUCAGAGAAGGGAACUCAGGAACCAGGUCAGCUGCCAAAAAGGUUGCUUAGUGAUACAGACAAGCAAACUGCUCCGAAAGCACGGAAGUAAUUCCAGAGCGUCCACCUUUCUUCACUGCCCGCCAUUCACCCAGAGCUGGGAGCCUGGCUCUUAUCUGUGUUCAUGUCAGGAAGUUGAAGCAAGCCUCGUCUUGCCAAAGAAUCAAGGAGUGACAGAGUUGGAAAUGAAAGCGUAACAGAAACUUGGACUGAUCACAGACUCAAACCAGUACAUCUCCUUUUCUGCUUCGAAUUGGGAACUGAAACCAUUCCAUAGGAAGCACACUCUUGCCCUUCCUACGGAAAAAUAUUCGUCUGGCUUGAUUCCCUUUUCAUAUUAUUAUUAUUUGAGAUGACAUCUUGCUCUGUCACCCAGGCUGCAGUGCAGGGGCACCAUCUUGGCUUACUGCAACCUCCGCCUCCCGGGUUCAAGCAAUUCUCCCUCCCCCAGCAUCCCCAGUAGCUGGGACUACAGGCACUCACCACCACGCCCAGCUAAUUUUUCUUGUAUUUUUACUAGAAACGGGGUUUCGCCAUGUUGGCCAGGCUGAUCUCAAACUCCUGACUUCAGGUGACCCGCCGGUCUCAGCCCCCACAAAGUGCUGGGAUUACAAGUGUGAGCCACUGCGCCCAGCCUUGAUUUCCAUUUUAAUGCACAAAUACUAACAGCAGUGUUCACCAAACUCUAAUAAAACGUAAGUGCUCUUGCA